CUGGGAGAGUUGAACGAGGUAACUAAGCAACGUCUGCUUCAUAUUAAUACAGUUACUGGGAGAGUUGAACGAGGUAACUAAGCAACGUCUGCUUCAUAUUAAUACAGUUACUGGGAGAGUUGAACGAGGUAACUAAGCAACGUCUGCUUCAUAUUAAUACAGUUACUGGGAGAGUUGAACGAGGUAACUAAGCAACGUCUGCUUCAUAUUAAUACAGUUACUGGGAGAGUUGAACGAGGUAACUAGGCAACGUCUGCUUCAUAUUAAUACAGUUACUGGGAGAGUUGAACGAGGUAACUAAGCAACGUCUGCUUCAUAUUAAUACAGUUACUGGGAGAGUUGAACGAGGUAACUAAGCAACGUCUGCUUCAUAUUAAUACAGUUACUGGGAGAGUUGAACGAGGUAACUAAGCAACGUCUGCUUCAUAUUAAUACAGUUACUGGGAGAGUUGAACGAGGUAACUAAGCAACGUCUGCUUCAUAUUAAUACAGUUACUGGGAGAGUUGAACGAGGUAACUAAGCAACGUCUGCUUCAUAUUAAUACAGUUACUGGGAGAGUUGAACGAGGUAACUAGGCAA